rnacentral:rRNA from 1 species
UUAAGCGACUAAGCGUACACGGUGGAUGCCCUGGCAGUCAGAGGCGAUGAAGGACGUGCUAAUCUGCGAUAAGCGUCGGUGAGGUGAUAUGAACCGUUAUAACCGGCGAUUUCCGAAUGGGGAAACCCAGUGUGUUUCGACACACUAUCAUUAACUGAAUCCAUAGGUUAAUGAGGCGAACCGGGGGAACUGAAACAUCUAAGUACCCCGAGGAAAAGAAAUCAACCGAGAUUCCCCCAGUAGCGGCGAGCGAACGGGGAGGAGCCCAGAGCCUGAAUCAGUGUGUGUGUUAGUGGAAGCGUCUGGAAAGGCGCGCGAUACAGGGUGACAGCCCCGUACACAAAAAUGCACAUAUUGUGAGCUCGAUGAGUAGGGCGGGACACGUGGUAUCCUGUCUGAAUAUGGGGGGACCAUCCUCCAAGGCUAAAUACUCCUGACUGACCGAUAGUGAACCAGUACCGUGAGGGAAAGGCGAAAAGAACCCCGGCGAGGGGAGUGAAAAAGAACCUGAAACCGUGUACGUACAAGCAGUGGGAGCCUCUUUAUGGGGUGACUGCGUACCUUUUGUAUAAUGGGUCAGCGACUUAUAUUCUGUAGCAAGGUUAACCGAAUAGGGGAGCCGAAGGGAAACCGAGUCUUAACUGGGCGUUAAGUUGCAGGGUAUAGACCCGAAACCCGGUGAUCUAGCCAUGGGCAGGUUGAAGGUUGGGUAACACUAACUGGAGGACCGAACCGACUAAUGUUGAAAAAUUAGCGGAUGACUUGUGGCUGGGGGUGAAAGGCCAAUCAAACCGGGAGAUAGCUGGUUCUCCCCGAAAGCUAUUUAGGUAGCGCCUCGUGAAUUCAUCUCCGGGGGUAGAGCACUGUUUCGGCAAGGGGGUCAUCCCGACUUACCAACCCGAUGCAAACUGCGAAUACCGGAGAAUGUUAUCACGGGAGACACACGGCGGGUGCUAACGUCCGUCGUGAAGAGGGAAACAACCCAGACCGCCAGCUAAGGUCCCAAAGUCAUGGUUAAGUGGGAAACGAUGUGGGAAGGCCCAGACAGCCAGGAUGUUGGCUUAGAAGCAGCCAUCAUUUAAAGAAAGCGUAAUAGCUCACUGGUCGAGUCGGCCUGCGCGGAAGAUGUAACGGGGCUAAACCAUGCACCGAAGCUGCGGCAGCGACACUAUGUGUUGUUGGGUAGGGGAGCGUUCUGUAAGCCUGUGAAGGUGGCCUGUGAGGGUUGCUGGAGGUAUCAGAAGUGCGAAUGCUGACAUAAGUAACGAUAAAGCGGGUGAAAAGCCCGCUCGCCGGAAGACCAAGGGUUCCUGUCCAACGUUAAUCGGGGCAGGGUGAGUCGACCCCUAAGGCGAGGCCGAAAGGCGUAGUCGAUGGGAAACAGGUUAAUAUUCCUGUACUUGGUGUUACUGCGAAGGGGGGACGGAGAAGGCUAUGUUGGCCGGGCGACGGUUGUCCCGGUUUAAGCGUGUAGGCUGGUUUUCCAGGCAAAUCCGGAAAACCAAGGCUGAGGCGUGAUGACGAGGCACUACGGUGCUGAAGCGACAAAUGCCCUGCUUCCAGGAAAAGCCUCUAAGCAUCAGGUAACAUCAAAUCGUACCCCAAACCGACACAGGUGGUCAGGUAGAGAAUACCAAGGCGCUUGAGAGAACUCGGGUGAAGGAACUAGGCAAAAUGGUGCCGUAACUUCGGGAGAAGGCACGCUGAUAUGUAGGUGAAGCGACUUGCUCGUGGAGCUGAAAUCAGUCGAAGAUACCAGCUGGCUGCAACUGUUUAUUAAAAACACAGCACUGUGCAAACACGAAAGUGGACGUAUACGGUGUGACGCCUGCCCGGUGCCGGAAGGUUAAUUGAUGGGGUUAGCGGUAACGCGAAGCUCUUGAUCGAAGCCCCGGUAAACGGCGGCCGUAACUAUAACGGUCCUAAGGUAGCGAAAUUCCUUGUCGGGUAAGUUCCGACCUGCACGAAUGGCGUAAUGAUGGCCAGGCUGUCUCCACCCGAGACUCAGUGAAAUUGAACUCGCUGUGAAGAUGCAGUGUACCCGCGGCAAGACGGAAAGACCCCGUGAACCUUUACUAUAGCUUGACACUGAACAUUGAGCCUUGAUGUGUAGGAUAGGUGGGAGGCUUUGAAGUGUGGACGCCAGUCUGCAUGGAGCCGACCUUGAAAUACCACCCUUUAAUGUUUGAUGUUCUAACGUUGGCCCGUAAUCCGGGUUGCGGACAGUGUCUGGUGGGUAGUUUGACUGGGGCGGUCUCCUCCUAAAGAGUAACGGAGGAGCACGAAGGUUGGCUAAUCCUGGUCGGACAUCAGGAGGUUAGUGCAAUGGCAUAAGCCAGCUUGACUGCGAGCGUGACGGCGCGAGCAGGUGCGAAAGCAGGUCAUAGUGAUCCGGUGGUUCUGAAUGGAAGGGCCAUCGCUCAACGGAUAAAAGGUACUCCGGGGAUAACAGGCUGAUACCGCCCAAGAGUUCAUAUCGACGGCGGUGUUUGGCACCUCGAUGUCGGCUCAUCACAUCCUGGGGCUGAAGUAGGUCCCAAGGGUAUGGCUGUUCGCCAUUUAAAGUGGUACGCGAGCUGGGUU